ensembl:snRNA U6 U6 spliceosomal RNA
GCUUGUUUCAGCAGACAUACACUAAAAUUGGAUGAUACAGAGAAGAUUAGCUCAAGGAUGACACGCAAACUCGUGAAGUGUCCCAUAUUUUU